UAUAUCAAAACGUCAGGUUU
rnacentral:miRNA from 1 species